rnacentral:rRNA from 1 species
AGAGUUUGAUCCUGGCUCAGAUUGAACGCUGGCGGCGUGCCUAACACAUGCAAGUCGAGCGGUAACAGGUGUAGCAAUACAUGCUGACGAGCGGCGAACGGGUGAGUAAUGCUUUGGAAUCUUCCCAGUAGUGGGGAAUAACCAGUCGAAAGAUUGGCUAAUACCGCAUACGUCUGUAAAGGGAAAGCGGGGGCUCGUAAGACCUCGCGCUAUUGGAUGAGCCAAAGUCGGAUUAGCUAGUUGGUGGGGUAAUGGCCUACCAAGGCGACAAUCCGUAGCUGGUCUGAGAGGACGACCAGCCACACCGGAACUGAGACACGGUCCGGACUCCUACGGGAGGCAGCAGUGGGGAAUAUUGGACAAUGGGGGAAACCCUGAUCCAGCGACGCCGCGUGUGUGAAGAAGGCCUGCGGGUUGUAAAGCACUUUUAGUGGGGACAAAAAGCUACGGAUUAAUACUCUGUGGUCUUGAUUUAACCCAAAGAAAAAGCACCGGCUAACUCUGUGCCAGCAGCCGCGGUAAUACAGAGGGUGCGAGCGUUAAUCGGAAUUACUGGGCGUAAAGCGCGCGUAGACGGUUUUGUAAGUCAGAUGUGAGAUCCCUGGGCUCAACCUGGGAACUGCAUUUGAGACUGCAUGGCUAGAGUAUCGAAGAGGGAAGUGGAAUUUCCGGUGUAGCGGUGAAAUGCGUAGAUAUCGGAAGGAACACCAGUGGCGAAAGCGACUUCCUGGUCGAAUACUGACGUUCAUGUGCGAAAGCGUGGGGAGCAAACAGGAUUAGAUACCCCAGUAGUCC